CAGCACCGGGUUAGGAAAUGCAAGUGUCCUUCUAGCAGUUUAGCUGCAGGUCAAGGGGACUGCCUUAGCAGGAAAGGCCCAUUUUAAUACACAGUAGUCAAGCUUGCUUCUGCUUAGCUUUAGAGACUGCUGUGCCAUUCUUAAACUGUGUGUGGAAAAAAUAUUUUUCAGAAUGGCAAGCUUCAUCUUUGCAUUCUCCUUCCUGUUGCUGCAGAUUUUCCUUGGUGAGAAUUUUGUUUCCAACGAUCUAUGCUUUUCUUCAUGUCUAAAAGAAAGAACGAAGAGUUUAUGCUUUUGUUUUCAACUGUUUGGGUUUUUUUUCAGCUGAAAUGUAGCAUUCAAAGGGGUAUAUGUGACUCUAAGAACACAUAGAAGACACUUCUUCAUCUGUCCUGACCAUACUGGCUUUUAAUCCCUUACGCUUUCUUCAGUUCUUGAGGAGCUUGUGGUUACCUUAGCUGCAAUGAUCUUAGAGGUAGGUUUCACAUUUGAUGCAAGAUGCCUUAACUCCCGCUUCAGGAGACAGCUUUGUUUUCUCAGCAUCUCCUUAGCUCGAGAAACAACUCCUUCCUUCCAUGCAUAAUUUGUAAGCUUUCAGCUGUGGGUUUGUUGUUUCUUUUUUCCCCAAUCUCUGCAGACAAAAUCUGCAGAAAGAGAAGCUGGCUAUGGAUUACAAAGUUAUGGGAUAAUAACUGUAAGGUGUUAGACAGAUCAUUUAUUCCUUUCCUUUCUUUAAUUACAUAGGACUUGUUCCAGCUACAUUCAUGCUGAGUAGGACCUCAUUCAGCAAACAGCCUCUCAGUAAUCAAUAUGCCUGCGGGGGAGGAAAUACAGUGUGCCAGGUAAGGGAACCUUUGCUUCCUGCCCCAGGUCACUCGAUUCUCUCAGCUCCAUCAAAAGUUCUGUUUAGUCCAGUAAUGAGAAGCUGAUUGCACUGAGACAUCUGUGAGGUACACAAUUGUGCUGUCUGCAGCACAUUGAAGAAUGGUCCUUUGUUUGCUUGGGACACCAAACCCAUUGCAAAAAGCAAUAUUUGCAGCUAAUCACCAUAGUGAUUUGAAUUUUCAUUUAGCCUUUGUGCUAAUAGAGGCAGCUGGAAAAAGAAAAAAAAAUCAGCACAAAUAAACACAACUAUUAAGUACUCUCAAUUCUCAAAACCAGGAGCUGCUGGAAGUAAUGCUGAUGCCUCCAACUCAAGAAAUCUUUUAAAUGUGAAAUGAUAUAUAUGAGGCCAGGAGAGGAACGCAUUUUAUCUUGUUUGCUUAGACUCCAGAAUAGAUCUCUGAGUCUCUGGACAUAAUGAUUGCUUAGGCAAGUCAAACACUGUAUAUCACCUGCUGAGCAUCUGAUUCAUUGGCUCAGUGGAUUGAAGCCAAUUUUGCCAGCUGGAAUCUGUAAUAUUGACUUCUAUGGUGUGAUACUGAUCUAUAUUACCCAGAGGAGUUGGCUGAGAGACAAAGAGAGGUUACAUCUCCUUUGGGUGACAACUUUCCUGAAGGCCUAGGUGGACAGAAUCUGUCUCACAAAGCCUGGUUGUCUUAGAAGUGGUGCGUAUGGCUCACUACUAUGACAUUUCGUUUUUUCCUGGACUUUCAAGCAGGGUAGCAAUCAGGAACAACAGCCUCUUUCUCUGCCUCUAUCCCUCUGUUUUGAGCUUAUGCUUAUUGCAGUUCUGGUAUGGUUUCUCUGCACGUACCGACUACUACUGUGCAGACCCUUGUGCUGAUCUGAGAGAAGGGAGGAGAUGACCUAGCUCCAGCUUUCCCCUCUGCCUUGCCAAAGAGGAGACAGAUGUCACAAACCACCCUUCUUGCUCUUCAGAGACCCAAGCAAAGCAGUACAACUCAUAGCCAUGAAGGGGCAGCUGGGGACAGGCAAAGCAAGGCAAGGCCUAGCACUGUCACACAGUGCCAGAUUGCUCAUGCAGAACACCAUUUCACUUACUGGGUUUUCCAGGGCAGCAUCAGAGUUUAUUUGGUGUUUUGUGGAAGAGAUGCUCGCUAGACCUCAGGGUCAUGCACUACUUUGCAAGCUGGCUAUCCAGAAUUGCUUGCUCUGGAAAAUCCUGGAUGUGUCUCAUAACUGUGUCAGAGGAACAAAGGACAAAGCCAUCGACCUGGAGCACAUCACUAAACAGGAGCUGAAUUACUGCUUUCUGUUAGACACCGAAUGAUUGUCACUGGGACUACAUCCAGCUACCUGUGAGGGAUCUCCAGGAAGCCUGACACAGGAACUUUUGCAUUAGUGAAAAUGAAGUGCUCUGUUGAAGGCAUUACUUUCAGGAGACUGAAGGGAAAGGAGGGAUUCAAUGUCAUUUCACUUCCUGAAGCACAGUCUGGAGAGCGCACCUGAAGAACUGCAAGUGUUAGAUGCUCCCACAGAGCAAAGGCAUACGCCACUGGAAAAGCCCUCCUCGUGCUGACAAGCAGAUAAAAAUUUUCUAGAUGCCUCAGUUCUGGCCUGUGGAAUAAGACAACAGGGAAGGAUACAAGAAAGAAUGAAGCAGCAGCACAGAUCACAAGGCACUACAAAUUAUUACAACUUUCUUCCUCACCUUUCAUAGAAUCACUAUGGUUAGAAAAGACCUCUAAGAUCGUCCAGACCAACCACCAACCCAUCCCCACCAUGCUCCUCAAUGCUGCAUCCGCACGGUUCUUGUACACCCCCAAGGACGGUGACUCCACCACCCCCCUGGGCAGCCUGUGCCACUGCAUCACCACUCUGCCUGAGAAGUUUUUCCUAAUACUCAACCUGAACCUCCCCCUUUCACAGCUGGACCAGAAAUUUUCCAGCAGACAGCUCACACUGAAAGUUAAAUACACAAGAAUAUCCAAAUUAACAGAGACACUUGCAAUAAAGAUCUUAUUAAGAUGUCAACAUUGUUUACGGAUUACGGAACAACUUAGAGAACCUCAAGAACUUUGUACUCCCUCUUUCUGAUCAGUGCUUGGUUGUUGCUUGGGGGAUGCAGGGAAUACACGUUUAAGACCUGCAAACUUAGAGACAACUGUUAGUGCCUAAAGAACUGAAGUCACUGAUGGCUAGACCACAGCAAGAAGGAAGCAGUGACGUGAACUGAGAGGAAUUCAGGACUCACAGACAGAUGGAGCUGUUUCCCACCUGUAGGGCUAAAUCUGGCAUAGACGACAGCCCGCAUUGAGCUGGCACUGAGCUGAGCUCCUGCCUGGUUGUGGGAAUACCCUGCUUUCAGUCUUGGGUGAAGCUGAUCUGUGAGUCCAGUCCUGGAAGUUAAGAGGUCUCUUACGCCCCACAGUGUGAAAGAAUUGGUGGGUACAUGGGUAGGAGUGGCUUCCCUGGGUAGUCAAAGCAGCCAGCUCAAAAAAACUGAGCAAUCAUGCCGAUAAACAAAAUAGAUCACUGGUUAAAAUAAAUAAUAGAAAAAAAAAAAAGAAGCAGGAAUAAAUGGAGAAGGUUACUGCUAGUGUUCCUCUAAAGCAGAUUUGGGGCAACCUGUUGAGAUAAUUUACUGAUAAGGUGUCAUGCAUAACAAGGUAACGGUUUGUCUACAUUCCCACAUUACUCAAGGUUUUAAAGUGGAAGUUCACUGUGAAUAGCUGCAGAAAGAUCUGCCAGAAACUGCCAGAUAAAAUGGAAGAUAAAGUUCAAGGUCAAUAAAUGCAAAACAAAUCAUAGAUAAAAAUGGCAGUAAUUGUGCACGCUCAGUGGUACACUAAAUUAGAUAAACUUUCCUAAGAAAGAGGCAUGUCAGAGUUGAUCUAAAAAGUAAACAAAUUAGAGCUAAAAACAAAACAGAACAGGAGAUAUUGCUGUGCCACUGCAAAAAUGUAACAUGCCAGUGCACCCUGAAUACCAGCUACUGUCCUGGUCCUGGUCUCACGAAGGAUCCAAGAGUGACUGGAAAGGGUUCAGAAGUAGACAAUGAGAUCAACUGAAGGACACAGCUGCUUUCUGUCCAGGAGAAGUUACAGAUGGGGCUUCCGUGCCAUGGUAAAUGAAUGACAGAAGGGGUUACAUGGAAAAAGAUCUCAGAUGACACAGAGUAGAGGAAUAGACUGGUUACGACUUGCUGACCCUCAGAAUACAGGAAUCAGAAGCUAUUGUGUUACAUGCUCAACGUGAGAACUGGAAACAACAGACCAAGAAUACAAGCUGUAUACACUGAGGCACUCUGUGCUGUGUAUACCAAAAAUUUGUAUGGAUGCAACAUGCAGUUGUACAACUCAUACAGGACAAAAGAUCAAGGUCUAGGAUAGGAAAGAAAGAUGCUUUGACCAGCUUGGAGAGCCUCCAAGAUGAGGCUUCACUGGAAGCUGCAAAGAUAUCGUUGGACACUUGUCCUGCCUUUAUCCUCUUCCUUGCCUGGGUGCUGACUGCUCAUGUGAGAGUGAGGGUGGUAAGUCCAACCUCUGGGGUGUUACCAGGUGCAUUUGUGGUUAAAGCACAGCCAGCUACAAAUGACGGCAGAAAGCCAUCCAGUGUGGUGCCAAACAGCAUUUAGGGUGAAAAUGGAGAUUAAGAAGCCAGAUGGAAAAGAAGACAGCAAGUUUAAAAGGAUGGGAGCAGAGGGACACCCCAUUUUGAUACACAGUUUGAGACUGCAGCCAAAUCACAAGUGUGGCAGAGAUGGAAUGCUCAUCCAGACAUGAAAACAAAUGCCUACGUGGGUUCCCAGCUGCGUAUGAACAGAAGACAGAGCUGGGAGAAAGCUGCUUGGAGGAGAAGGAAAAUGGGAGCACACAGUCUGCACUUCUGCUCUCCUAAGGAAAUUAUUCAGUGAAACAUUAUUGAAACUGUCAGAAAUGUACUUGAAGUAGGGACUAGCUUCUUAAUUCAGAUCAGAAUGGUGGUAGUGAAGCCAGAGAAUCAGGUAUUUGACAGACCUUCACUGAAGUCAAUAUCCUUUAGCGCUGACAUCCCUAAACUGCCUACUGUAAAAAACAUCAGUAUACCUGUAUUGGAUUUUACCUAUUGUGCUCGGUCUACCUGGGUUUAUUCUCUUUCACCAAAAUAAAAAGCAAAUCCAAACCAAAACCAACAACAAUUGAACAACCACACAAAAAACAGCCUACCCUGAAAAGUGUCUUCAAAUAGCCUCAGAAGAAAUCUGAGCUUUGUUGCUCUAGUUAUUUAUGAUGCUGACAGGAAUUACAUUACUGAAG
ensembl:lncRNA